GUCUGAAAUGGCCGCCCCUGGGCUCUGCCUCCCCGCGGCUGGAGGGCUCUCACCUCCGAGCUCCUGCUACCCACUGGCCUCGCCCUGGGUCCCCGUCCUUCUCCCUGCGGAUGCUGCCUGGAGCUGGCGGUAACCUGUUGCAGUGUUGUGCAAUCUGUGAUACCGAAAUCAGAGCAGAGAGUGUCUUCUUGACGCGGCGGCUCACCGGCCAGAGCCCUAGGGCCAGUUGAAGGGGCUGCCCGCCAGCAGCGAGUCCCGGGUGAGCAUCUGGGCGGGCGUCUUGCCCACCAGGCGCAGCAAGUGGAGCUGCGCAAUGAGGGGCGCCUGGAGCGCGCGCAGGGCCGGGCGCACUGGGGCUGGGACGGGUACUGGGCGCGCAAUACUCCAUGAGAGCCACCUGCGCCUGCUCCUGCAGCCUCUCAGCGCGCGCAGAGGCCGAGAGCGCCAUGACAUUGAGGCACCGGGCUCCACGGAGUCCCCCUACAGGCGGCCCAGCUCCUCCACCUGCUCCUGGUCCAGGAAGGCCGCGCGCGCUUGGCCGGCAGUGGCGCCCUGUGCAGGCAGGGGCAGCGCUAAGAGCAGCCGCGCCGCCAGCGUUCUCACCUGGUCCAUGCCCAGCGCCGCGCCGCCGCCGCCCGCACCUGCCGCGCCCACAGCUGCACCGGGAACAAGCCUCUGUCCGCCGCCACGCCAGCACCCAGCCAGGAGGGCUGCAGGAGGAGGCGGCCAGCGCUGCCGGGCAGGGAUUACGGGAUGCGGCCGCGCUGCAGCGCUGCGGGGCGGCAGGAGGGAGAGAGAGAGAGAAGGGCAGGGAGAAGACAGCCAGAGCUAGGCUCUCUCAGAGUCCCCCCACCCCAGCUCCGGGAGAGCCCGGGUGGGGAGGGGGCCUGGGGUCUUCCCCAGGUGGGACUGGGAGCUGGGGCCUCGCCCGCAGCAAGCAGGUGAGGUGGGAGGAGGGAAACCGAGGCAGGGAGGGCUGGCUGCCAGGCAGGGCAAAUUAAGGAGCCUUAAUGAGCCCGCCCACCUGGCCUGAUCGAAUCCAUGAGCUCCAGCCCUAGGCCGGCCUCACGCAGGGCACAUUACCAGCCCUGGAGGGGACUAGGGGCUGGAGGUGGGGCUGAGUCCUGCGGGGGUGGGGGUCAGCUGUGCAGUAGGAGUGGCCAAAUGGGGCCCAAAAGUGCUGCCCUGGUUAUAAGCCCCGCCUGCACCACUCCUCCCCCCAUCCUACCCCAGGGCCUUUGCACCUGCUCACCCCCCCUUCUUCAAACCCCCACCCCCAACUCUUCCUCCUCCAGCCCAGGCUGGGGCAUGGGGUUCAAAUCCCACCCACAACUCCCUCUUUAACACCAACCCCCGAAUUAACAAAUCUGCUUUAGAGCAGUAUUGGCCAUGGAGGAAGGGCUACCCUGGUGGCAACUGAAGCCAUGGGCUAUUUACUGAGGGCCAACUGUAUGCAGGGACCCUGGGGCACAACAGUGCACAAGACAGAGAGUCCCUGGAGAAGUCAUUGGGUUCCAAAGCAAAGUAAGGGGUUGUGAGCUGUGAUGGUGGGAGGCCGCGCAUGGGGUGGGGGAUGCAGCACUUGGCUGUAGGCGCGCCCACCUGAGGGCCGGGCCAGCGGGAUUUCAGAUCAGCCACGUGAGAAGAGGGGGCACAGGUGAACCCCCCCAAACUGAAGGGAGUGGCUUUUCCAAGGGGCUCUGAGCCGACUUUAUCAGCUUCCCUCACAGACCCAGUGAGGGGGGAGGACUUCGAAAGCGCGAGAGACUGGGGUCAGACCCUGGGAAGAACCGGCAGACAGAAAGCAGGAGAGGAGGUACAGUAAUUCUGUAAUACCAGCAUCCAUCUGUCAUGUGCAAUUUCACGUAAGAAAAUUCUAAGAAGAAGGUGCGGAUUUUAGGAAUACCACUUUGUAUUUAAAAGAAAGUAUGUCCGUUGGUUUUCUUUCUCACCAUAUGACAUUUUACCAUUUUAUUUUUAAAAAUUAUUUUGUUUUUAUUCAUUUGAAAGGCAGAAUGAGACAGUGAGAGUGAAAGAGAUUAUCUUCCAUCUGUUGGUUCACUCCCCAUAACCACAGGAGCCAGGAGUGGGCCAUACCAUUGUCAAGAGCCAAGAACUCCACCUCUGUCUCCCACCUGGGUGGUAGGGACCCAAGUAAUUCAUCUAUCAACUGAUGCCUCCCAGGGUGAGCAUUAGCAGGAAGUUGUAUAGGAAGUGGAGGUGUUACUGGAAUCCAGACACUUCACUACAUGGGCAUCCCAAACAAUGGCUUAACAGGUGCAGCACAACAAAUGACUUCCAUUUCAAUUUUUAAAAUAGACAUCAUAGUGGAAAAUAAGAGCCACAUACCUAUAAAUAUUAAUACACAUUUACACAUAAAUAUAUGCAUAUACAUUUAUAUACACAUAUUUAUAUGGGGAAAACCUUUGAUGAUUUUAUAGUAAUUGUAAUGCCUUAUAUACUAUUUUCUUUGAGAGUUACACUGCAUAUUUGAUACCAAAAUUCCACAAAGUUAGUAAUGGAACAAAAAAGGCAACAGAUACAUAAUGGACACAUCUUAUAGAAAAUGGAAGGACAAGUACAGAACUCCAAAAGUCAACACAUUUACAUUUCCAUUCAAAUAUACUAAGAAGAUUGGAGUGAGUUGAAAUAAGAGGAAAAUUUGGAGGAGACAUGUUUCUUUAUCUUCAUCUCAAGAUGAGCAAACACAAUCUGAAAAAAUAAUUCCAGAUUAUAAAUAUUUCUAUUAAAAUAAUGACAUCAUGGUAGAUUUAUACAUAAAAAUUUUUAUAGUUCAAGUUAGUAUGACUAUUAAUCCAGCUUCAUUGACUGGAAUGAAAAAAAAUUAUUUUUCUACUUUUGAUGGCAGCUGAAGUAUGAAGUGUCUUCAAACUGUUUAGGGAAAGAGUGUGUUUUGAAAAAAAUUAUUCACUGUGUUCAAAACUUUUUGCACCAAGAUAAACUUUUAAUUUUGUUUUCCACAAACUUUUUGAAAUUCCUUUGUAUAUUCAUCCAAAUGCCUAAGACUUCAGCUUUUCAAAAUAAGUAUUCUAAUGAUUUUUAGUGAAAAUAUACAAGCAUGGUACAUACAGUAUGCUGAAUUUACAAACCAUAUAAGCUAUAUAGAAUGAAAAGAAUCCAUGUUUUCUUGAUGACUUGUGAUCUCUAUUUAUUCAUCCAUUCACAGGUUCUAAGAUGUUACUUAAUGUCCAGGUACCAGUACUGUGUAGAACCAUGAUGAGAGGGAUUGAGUGAGGAAUGCACAGAAAAUAAAAUGCAGACCUUGCCCUUAAGGCAUUCCCAAUGAAUAAAUGGGAGGCUUGUAAACAACAGAUGGUUGUUGGCAAUGCAUGAGGCUUUCAUCAGUGAUGAGAAUUGUAAAAGGUUAGCUCCAUACUCAUAUUCUACAGAAUGUUCCUAAACCAUUCACUGUUCUGUGAGUGUCAUUAAAAGUCCCCCAUCCAAGUGGUGGCCUAAAACUCUAUACUGUUGAGCUGUCACAUGACUGUGACCACAGAGAUUUUCCCUCUGAGAAUCACACAUCCUUGCCAUUGUUAGCAUCCUGUGUGCCUUCCACAUUUUUUUUACUCCAGUAACCUAGGCUAGAACCUUGGGUUCUAGAAAGUUGACUUACCAAAUAUAUUACAUACAGCAAAGCAAAUAAACUAUUUGAGCAUGGUACAUGCAUUUUAUGAGUGCUGAUGUUGAUUUUAUUUGGGGUUCAAGUCAAUGAUAUCUUCUGAUCUGCAACUUUUCUGAAAAGUGCUGAAUAAAGGAGGGUUUUUAAAUAAUUCCCUUUUUUCAAGACUGGAUUUAAGGUAAGACUGUGUAAAAUGUGUCAUGUUAUGGAGUGUGAUUAACAAAUUAGAUAAAAUCAAAUCCAAAUAGGAAUAAUGUAGAGAGGUUGUUAUUCAUGAACUCAAAAAUACACGAGCCAAACCUUCUAAGUUAUUAAUAUCUGUGCAUGCAGGUGGUAUUUUUCAACAAAAUCUGCCUA